rnacentral:siRNA from 1 species
UGUCGGGAGGGAAGCGGAUGG